rnacentral:tRNA from 1 species
GGUAGUGUAGAAUCUAGGUGUAGCUUCAAAAAGACGGAAAUCUGAAGCGUUGACAUCGAAGGGGUCACAGGUUCAAUCCCUGUCACUCCCACCA